ensembl:lncRNA
GUAUGUCAACAAACUACGAAGGGAACCCCCGAUGACGAGACAGGUGCGUCGGUGGACGGACCAAUCGGAGGACAGCAUGCGAGUAGCACUACAUGAAGCACUUUGGGACAUGCAUGUCCCCAAAGUGACUGUUAAAGUAUUUGAAAACCAGAAACCAUGGAUAAAUAAUAAUACCCGGAAUGCCCUGAAACAACGCACGGCUGCAUAUAAAUUAGGAUUGGAGACUGGCAAUAUGGAUGACUACAAAGCAGCAGCAUACAAUGUGAGAAAGGUAGUGAAGGAUGCCAAGAGGGAAUAUGGGGAGAAGAUGGAAUCCAAAUUCCAGCAAGGAGACCUCAGGAGCGUAUGGCAGGGGCUAAAAAUCAUGACGGACUACAAACGCCCGCCCCCCUCCUCGGGAGGUGCAAGUAAGGAGUUGGUGGAUAACCUCAACACUUUUUUUGCACGCUUUGACACCUGCCAAGGGGCCAUUGCACCAGGGAGGGAGAGCGACGGAGUAGGAGGGAGUGGAGGACCACUCGUUCUCUCUGAACAUGAUGUCAGGAGGACACUUAAGCUGGUGAACGCCAGGAAGGCUGAAGGACCAGAUGAGAUAGCGGGGCGGGUUCUCAAGGUUUGCGCCGACCAAUUGGCACCAGUGUUCACGGCUAUAUUCAAUCUGUCCCUGGCACAGUCCAUCAUCCCCAUAUGCUUUAAAAGGUCCACCAUCAUCCCCAUACCCAAAAAACCUAGACCAGCCUGUCAUAAUGACUAUCGCCCAGUUGCUCUUACCUCUGUGGUGAUGAAGUGUUUUGAGAAGCUGGUCAAGGCCCACAUCUGCUCUUCACUGCCCAACACCCUGGACCCUCUACAAUUCGCGUACCGGCCCAACAGAUCCACUGAGGAUGCCAUUACUCACAUAUUACACAGUGUCCUAUCACACCUGGACAAGAGUAAGGGGAAAGUGCUGAACUAUGUGAGACUAUUAUUUGUUGAUUAUAGUUCAGCCUUUAAUACCAUCCUCCCCUCCACC